rnacentral:rRNA from 1 species
UACGGGGGGGGGCAAGCGUUUGUUCGGAAUUACUGGGCGUAAAGGGCUCGUAGGCGGCCAACUAAGUCAUACGUGAAAUCCCUCGGCUUAACCGGGGAACUGCGUCUGAUGCUGGAUGGCUUGAGUUCGGGAGAGGGAUGCGGAAUUCCAGGUGUAGCGGUGAAAUGCGUAGAUAUCUGGAGGAACACCGGUGGCGAAGGCGGCAUCCUGGACCGACACUGACGCUGAGGAGCGAAAGCCAGGGGAGCAAACGGG